rnacentral:pre_miRNA from 1 species
UUUAUACUCCCUUCGUUCCAAAAAUUUUGUCUUACAUUGUCUAGAUAUGAAUGUAUCUAGUCAUGUUUUAGUAUUUAGAUACAUUCAUUUUUAAAUAAACUUAAGAAAAGAAUUAUAGGACGGAGGGAGUAUUUA